AGAGUUUGAUCCUGGCUCAGGAUGAACGCUGGCGGCGUGCUUAACACAUGCAAGUCGAACGAUGAUCCCAGCUUGCUGGGGGAUUAGUGGCGAACGGGUGAGUAACACGUGAGUAACCUGCCCUUAACUCUGGGAUAAGCCUGGGAAACUGGGUCUAAUACCGGAUAUGACUCCUCAUCGCAUGGUGGGGGGUGGAAAGCUUUAUUGUGGUUUUGGAUGGACUCGCGGCCUAUCAGCUUGUUGGUGAGGUAAUGGCUCACCAAGGCGACGACGGGUAGCCGGCCUGAGAGGGUGACCGGCCACACUGGGACUGAGACACGGCCCAGACUCCUACGGGAGGCAGCAGUGGGGAAUAUUGCACAAUGGGCGAAAGCCUGAUGCAGCGACGCCGCGUGAGGGAUGACGGCCUUCGGGUUGUAAACCUCUUUCAGUAGGGAAGAAGCGAAAGUGACGGUACCUGCAGAAGAAGCGCCGGCUAACUACGUGCCAGCAGCCGCGGUAAUACGUAGGGCGCAAGCGUUAUCCGGAAUUAUUGGGCGUAAAGAGCUCGUAGGCGGUUUGUCGCGUCUGCCGUGAAAGUCCGGGGCUCAACUCCGGAUCUGCGGUGGGUACGGGCAGACUAGAGUGAUGUAGGGGAGACUGGAAUUCCUGGUGUAGCGGUGAAAUGCGCAGAUAUCAGGAGGAACACCGAUGGCGAAGGCAGGUCUCUGGGCAUUAACUGACGCUGGGGAGCGAAAGCAUGGCGAGCGAACAGGAUUAGAUACCCCCGUAGUCC
rnacentral:rRNA from 1 species